AGACAGUAGCAUGUCUCCCAAAAGUGGAAUGAUACAAACAAAAUUAAUAUGGCCCCUGCCCAAGGAUGACUCAUAAAUUCAUGAAGUGUGAAGUGUUCCU
ensembl:snRNA U6 U6 spliceosomal RNA